rnacentral:rRNA from 1 species
GUACCUUAAGGUGGGAGAUAGCCUCAUGAAAGUGAGGGUAAUACCCCAUAUGCUCUAGAAUCUGGAAUGAUCUAGAGGAAAGGUGGCCUCUAUUUAUAAGCUGUCGCCUAAAGAGCGGCCCACGCCUUAUCAGGUUGUUGGUGGGGUAAUGGCCUACCAAGCCUAAGACGAGUAGCUGGCCUGAGAGGGUGGUCAGCCACACCGGGACUGAGACACUGCCCGGACUCCUACGGGAGGCUGCAGUCGAGAAUAUUUCCCAAUGGACGAAAGUCUGAGGAUGCGACGUCGCGUGGGGGAUGAAGGUUUUCGGAUCGUAAACCCCUUUUAUUGUGGAGGAAGAUCAAGAGAUUAAGAGUUACUUGGUUUGACUGUACUCAAUGAAUAAGCCACGGCUAACUCCGUGCCAGCAGCCGCGGUAAUACGGAGGUGGCAAGCGUUACUCGGUUUGACUGGGUGUAAAGCGCCCGCAGGCGGCCAAAUAAGUGAAAGGUGAAAUCUCACCGCUUAACGGAGAAACUGCCUUUUAAACUGCUUGGCUUGAGGAUGGGAGAGGAGAGCGGAACUGUCAGUGUAAGGGUGAAAUCUGUGGAUAUUGACAGGAACGCCUGUGGAGAAGUCGGCUCUCUGGUCCAUUCCUGACGCUCAGGGACGAAAGCUAGGGGAGCAAACAGGAUUAGAUACCCUGGUAGUCCUAGCCGUAAACGAUGGGCACUAGGUGCUUGUCCGUAAGGAUGGGUGCCGCAGGUAACCCGCUAAGUGCCCCACCUGGGGACUACGGCCGCAAGGCUAAAACUCAAAGGAAUUGACGGGGGCCCGCACAAGCGGUGGAACACGUGGUUUAAUUCGAUGCUACGCGAGGAACCUUACCAGGGCUUGACAUGCUAGAAGUAAUCGCCUGAAAGGGUGGAUGACCUGUAACCAGUCAGGUACUAGCACAGGUGCUGCAUGGCUGUCGUCAGCUCGUGCCGUGAGGUGUUCCCUUAAGUGGGAAAACGAGCGCAACCCUCGUCCUUAGUUGCCACCUUUGGCUUUUUGCUAAAGAGCACUCUAGGGAGACUGCCCGCGUUAAGUGGGAGGAAGGUGAGGACGACGUCAAGUCCGCAUGGCCCUUAUGUCCUGGGCUACACACGUGUUACAAUGCCUACUACAAAGGGAGGCGAAGCCGUAAGGUGGAGCAAAUCUCAAAAAAGUAGGCCCAGUUCGGAUUGAGGGCUGCAAUUCGCCCUCAUGAAGUUGGAAUCGCUAGUAAUGGCGUAUCAUCAACGACGCCGUGAAUACGUUCCCGGGCCUUGUACACACCGCCCGUCAAGCGCUGAAAGUGGGGGGCGCCCGAAGCCCGAUUUUUGUCGGGACACGGUGAAUUUCAUGAUUGGCGCUAAGUCGAAACAAGGUA